AUUGAACGCUGGCGGCAGGCCUAACACAUGCAAGUCGAACGGUAACAGGAAACAGUUUGCUGUUUCGCUGUCGAGUGGCGGACGGGUGAGUCAUGUCUGGGAAACUGCUUGAUGGAGGGGGAUAACUACUGGAAACGGUAGCUAAUACCGCAUAACGUCGCAAGCCCAAAGAGGGGGACCUUCGGGCCUCUUGCCAUCGGCUGUGCCCAGAUGGGAUUAGCUAGUAGGUGGGGUAACGGCUCACCUAGGCGACGAUCCCUAGCUGGUCUGAGAGGAUGACCGGCCACACUGGAACUGAGACACGGUCCAGACUCCUACGGGAGGCAGCAGUGGGGAAUAUUGCACAAUGGGCGCAAGCCUGAUGCAGCCAUGCCGCGUGUAUGAAGAAGGCCUUCGGGUUGUAAAGUACUUUCAGCGGGGAUGAAGAGAGUAAAGUUAAUACCUUUACUCAUUGACGGUACCCGCAGAAGAAGCACCGGCUAACUCCGUG
rnacentral:rRNA from 1 species